CGGAGUUCAGCACAACAGAAACAGAUGGACAGAAAGUUUCAGAAGACAUGGGAUUUUAAAAACCACCGAUCUGUUAGGAAACAGCCUUGUUUCCUCAUUUCCACAGAAGUAAGGGUUUAUUGGAAUCUACGGACACCACAGAAAACCACCACUCCUGGUACUGCUGCCCUCUGUCUGUGUCCAAAGAAAUGGAUUUCACUUGGAGGUAGCCAUGGCCAUGUGACCAGGUUCAGGCCUAUAGCGACAUGAAGGUAAGCUUUCUUCAAUCCUGUGGACAAUGGCAACACCUCAGGAGAUGGUGAAGAAAUAAGAUGGUAGGACCUUGAGUCCCUGAAUGACUGUGUGGAGCAGCACUGCCCUUCCAGUUCUGUACACUCACCUCAGGACAACUUCAGGAGGGAAAUACAAACUCUAAUUGAA
rnacentral:lncRNA from 1 species